UUCAGCUGCACACGACCGUACCGCAAACCGACACUGGUGCGCGAGAUGAGUAUUCUAAGGCGCUUGAGAGAACUCUGGAGAAGGAACUCGGCAAAUUAACACCGUAACUUCGGAAGAAGGUGUGCCCUAUUAGUGUGAAGUGAACAACGGAGCAUGAAUGGGUUGCAAAAAAUCGGUGGCUGCGACUGUUUAUUAAAAACACAGCACUCUGCAAAGACGAAAGUCGACGUAUAGGGUGUGACGCCUGC
rnacentral:rRNA from 1 species